AACGCUAGCUACAGGCUUAACACAUGCAAGUCGAGGGGCAGCAUGGACUUAGCUUGCUAAGUCCGAUGGCGACCGGCGCACGGGUGAGUAACACGUAUCCAACCUCCCGCUUACUCAGGAAUAGCCUUUCGAAAGAAAGAUUAAUGCCUGAUGGUAUCUUAAGCACACAUGUAAUUAAGAUUAAAGAUUUAUCGGUAAGCGAUGGGGAUGCGUUCCAUUAGGUAGUAGGCGGGGUAACGGCCCACCUAGCCGACGAUGGAUAGGGGUUCUGAGAGGAAGGUCCCCCACAUUGGAACUGAGACACGGUCCAAACUCCUACGGGAGGCAGCAGUGAGGAAUAUUGGUCAAUGGGCGCGAGCCUGAACCAGCCAAGUAGCGUGAAGGAUGAAGGUCCUAUGGAUUGUAAACUUCUUUUAUACGGGAAUAAAGUGGUCCACGUGUGGGCCUUUGCAUGUACCGUAUGAAUAAGCAUCGGCUAACUCCGUGCCAGCAGCCGCGGUAAUACGGAGGAUGCGAGCGUUAUCCGGAUUUAUUGGGUUUAAAGGGAGCGCAGACGGGGGAUUAAGUCAGUUGUGAAAGUUUGCGGCUCAACCGUAAAAUUGCAGUUGAUACUGGUUCCCUUGAGUGCAGUUGAGGCAGGCGGAAUUCGUGGUGUAGCGGUGAAAUGCAUAGAUAUCACGAAGAACUCCGAUUG
rnacentral:rRNA from 1 species